GGUUGGAAGGAGUGAAGUGAACGGCGAUAUACAGAGGGAACAGAUGGCUUUCAGUGCACAACAGCACUCCACUGAGCAUUUAUCUGCCAAGACCUGAAAUAACCCAGUGGGCUCCAUGUGACCUUUUACACAGCAGCAAGAAGUCUGGCAGGAAGGUGCCCUUAAGAUGCCCUAUGGAUGCGUACAAGGUCUUCCCUUCAUGCAUCUGUCUUGCAUCCCUCCUACCACCCCAUCUACACCCUUGGAGCAGCUCCUUAGCUCAUUCCUCACUAGGAAGUGAUGGAGGGUUUGGGCAGCCUCAUACUCAUGGGUAGACUCAGGUGAGAUACAGUACAUCCUUCUAUUGCAUUCAUUAAGAUCUAACUAAACUACACUUCUGCCCAUUCUCCCCAGGGUCUCAAUUUUAGUGUUAACCUCCUGUUCUUGUUCUGGAUCCUUCUCCGGAUUUUAACCCUGUCUUGUCUUGGAUGGAUCACCCGGUUUGGAUUUUGGACUGUGCCCGGAUUUCCUGUUUUGGACUUGUUAGCCUGCGCUCCCCCCUUGCACCUGAUCACUACCUGCACCGCCCCCUGUUCACCCUUCCAUUCCUGACUUAAAAAAAAAUAUUUUUCAUUUAUUUAUUUUAUUUAAAUACAAAAAGGGAAAAUACAACAAACGGAGGUAUAUACUGUACAUGCAAAUAUACAGAUGUCUCAACAUGACACAACAAGGUAGCAACAAGUAAAUGAAACAGGGGAAAAAGAAAAAAACAAAAACACACAAAAAAAACAAAAAAAAAAACCUAUUUGUCUAUAGUACAGAGGUUAUGU